UGGCGUCAGGACGAACGCUGGCGGCGUGCUUAACACAUGCAAGUCGAACGGGGAUAUAUUGGAAGGGUUCGGCCCGGAAGGUGAUACUCGAGUGGCGGACGGGUGAGUAACGCGUGAGCAAUCUGUCCCAGACAGGGGGAUAACACUUGGAAACAGGUGCUAAUACCGCAUAAGACCACAGCAUCACAUGGUGCAGGGGUAAAAGGAGGAAUCCGGUUUGGGGUGAGCUCGCGUCCGAUUAGCCAGUUGGCGGGGUAACGGCCCACCAAAGCGACGAUCGGUAGCCGAUCUGAGAGGAUGACCGGCCACAUUGGAACUGAGAGACGGUCCAAACUCCUACGGGAGGCAGCAGUGGGGAAUAUUGGGCAAUGGGCGAAAGCCUGAACCCCCAGCAACGCCGCGUGAGUGAAGAAGGCUUUCGGGUUGUAAAGCUCUGUUAUAGGUGACGAAGGAAGUGACGGUAGCCUAUAAGGAAGCCCCGGCUAACUACGUGCCAGCCGCUGC
rnacentral:rRNA from 1 species